GUAUAACUAUAGGAAGAGAUUUGCCUGCCGCAUUUCUACCUCUCAUGCAACUGAUAUAGGCUCAGGAGCCUUGCCAGAAUAAAAGGUGGCAACUUCUAGCAGCAGAGAAGCCCAGAAGAACAGAAAAGAAAGCCGCUUGUGUCCAUCAUGAAGAAGAGUCCUGCCUGGAUCGGAGCAAAGGUCAUCUCAUCCAUCAGCCUGCUUCUCCAGAGUGGCCAAUCAGAUGCUUCUGGGAACCACACAGAGGACAUGAAGCGAAUAGAUCCCCCCCUUGCUGUUGCUCCCCUCGCAAGUGGAAUUCAGAAGCAUGCUACCGCCUGUGAUCCCAGAGGUGGCAUAAUUACCAAUAUUACUAGCAGUCAUUGAUUAACCUCCCUUACAUCAAUUUGCCUAGUCCAAGAAGAAAGGAGGAGGGACUGAGGCUGCAACCUUAUGCACCCCUACCUAGGAGCAGUCCCCACCAAACACAGGGGGACGUAGACCCCAGCAGACAAGUUUGCACUGUGAAGCGCUUGUCCGUUUGCUUAGGUGCACAGGCUCUGCCUCUGGCGUGCCGCCAAGAGGAGGAAAGAAUGCCAAAGUAGCGGGUCCGGAGUUGCCUCCCCUGGCUCAGCCCUGGAUAAGGACGCAGGGUUGUCAGACCAGCCCUGAAACCACUAAACGGGGGUCAAGCCCGCCACCUGCCCCCCAGCCGUUUAUGGACCACGAAACUCCCAUCACCCCGGACCAUUUGCCAUGCUGGCUGGGGAUGAUCGGAGUGCCAACAACACCUGGAGGGCAUCUCCGCCUGCUCGCCACUAAAGCCCAUUUCUUCGCCUGCCCCGCCUGAUUCUCUCUCGGCUGACCUCCGCCCGCCUGCCCGCCGGCUCCUUGCGCACUUGCACCCAGCCGCCAGCAGUGGCCCUCGCUGAGGCGUGCCACGCGCCUCGCUUCCUUCCUUGAUCCGAAUCAAUCAGCCGCUCUAGGGAGGCGAUCAUGGAGGGAAAAGCGGGGAAAAAAGCAUCAGGAGCGAUCAUCCGCCCGCUGCUCCUUGAUCCCCUCCCCCCACGUCUCCAGCCAGCCCAGCCACCGCUUUCCGAGGCUCCGGUUCCGGCGAUCCUGGAAGAGGAGAGAGCGCAGAGUCUUCCCCAACCUGCUCCGGGCACAGCGGGCGCGGGGAGGGGGGGCUGGGCCAAGGGUCCAAACUUUGCACCCGCUCGCCAAACGCCGGGGCUGCUACCCCCCCCCCGACCACAGAAAAGUGCAUAAUGGCGGAGAUGAAUCAGCUCCGUGGAUCUGACCUUAACGUGGAAAUGGAAAGACAGACGGACAGCAAAAGAGCGAGACCUCCUUCUCAAGCAAGGGAGCCAGGGCGGCGCGGCGCUUUCCUUUACGCACUGGGGCCAGCGGCGCUUUUUGCCAAAGGGGGCCCUCGCGAAGAUGCACAAGAACAAUAAUUCGCAGCGCGGCGGGCUGGGUCGGGAGAGUUUGCAGAGGCGCCUUACCUUGGCUGAUGGGAACCGCCGCCGCCGCCGCCGAGACGUGCGCGUUCAAGUUUGGCUUGUAAGACAUACCGAGAAGCAGCAGCGACAUCAGCGAAAGGAGGCUGUGGGGAUGUCCUGGAAUCCCGCGACACGGCUCGGUCACUUGCUCGGCGUCCGCCUUCCCCGAGACUUUGGGGGUUGUUUACUGCCAUAGACAAGCGCACUCCACAAAUAUGGCCGCGUCACAUAUAGAUCGAGACAUGUGUGCAUAUAUAUAUGUGUGUGUGUGUAUAGAUUGCCAAUCUCCCUCGCGCCUUCCCAACGCAGUAAAUCAUCCAUACAUCAUUAGGAGAGGAGGAAGGAGGCGGCGGCCGAAAAAUGACUUUGAAAGAGACAAAGGAAGGAAGGGGGGGAAAGAGGAAGAAAAAGUUUUAACAGCAGCACAGGGAGCUCUGGAAUGCGUGGGCUCGAAAAGUACAGGAUUACACACACACACACACACACACUUGUCACUAUUGGGAGGAAUUCAUUUUACAGGCUAGAAGGGUGCAGGGGUGUGUGUGUUUAAAAUAAGUUUGGCGAGUUUUAAAAGAAGUUUUGGGAAGAAGUUUUUCAGUUGCAGAAGGGAUGUAGAAAAUGAGGGGGUUUUGUCUGUUUGGGAAGGGGAAUGAAAGUUUUAAUCUAAAGAAUGGCUUGAGCAUGGGAAAGUUGCUAAACUUUUUAGGUACUGUUGGCUGUUUCCUCUCUUCCCUUCCCCCCUCCCAAAAAAGAUUAAUUAAAACCUGAAAUUAAUUUCUAUAA